CCUACGGGAGGCAGCAGUGAGGAAUAUUGGUCAAUGGACGAGAGUCUGAACCAGCCAAGUAGCGUGAAGGAUGACUGCCCUAUGGGUUGUAAACUUCUUUUAUAAAGGAAUAAAACGAGGCACGUGUGCCUUUUUGCAUGUCCUUUAUGAAUAAGGCUCGGCUAACUCCGUGCCAGCAGCCGCGGUAAUACGGAGGAUCCGAGCGUUAUCCGGAUUUAUUGGGGUUAAAGGGAGCGUAGAUGGGUUGUUAAGUCAGUUGUGAAAGUUUGCGGCUCAACCGUAAAAUUGCAAUUGAUACUGGCAGUCUUGAGUACAGUUGAGGUAGGCGGAAUUCGUGGUGUAGCGGUGAAAUGCUUAGAUAUCACGAAGAACCCCGAUUGCGAAGGCAGCUUACUAAACUGUGACUGACAUUGAGGCUCGAAAGUGUGGGUAGCAAACAGGAUUAGAUACCCUAGUAGUC
rnacentral:rRNA from 1 species